rnacentral:lncRNA from 1 species
UUGCAUUGAAAAUAAACAAAUUAAAACAUUAAAACAUUUAUCUUUUCAGAAUAAAGAGGGUGCUGUAGAUCACUUCUACCAGUGUUUUAUAUACACUGGUAUGAAUAGAAUUUGUUCACUGUCUUUCUCGGAAAAUCAGAAGGACAGAAUAAAGUUGGACAAAUGCUACAAAUUUAGAGUUUAUCCCAGGGGAGUAGGCAACUUUCGAUUGGAUGGUAAUGCAAAGGUAUUUAUAUUUACAUCUGAAUUUAUUAUAAUAAUACCAUAUAUUACUGUUUUAUCAUUUAGUUUUUUAAUUUAUGAUAGGUUGAUUCAAUGCUUUUUGCACAUGUGUAACGACCGGAAGAAAACAAGCCUUAUUUUCACACACGAUCUCAUAAAUACAUAUCAGCCUAAUGACGUCAUUACAUUGGCUGAUAUGGCAGGGUGUUAAUUCUUUAAUUUAGUAAGUAUAUGAUAAAGAGAUGAAUACGGGCCGAUAUGGGAAAAUACAUAUAUUUAUCUCUAUAUAUAUAUAUAUAUAUACCAUAAACAUAAAAAUGAAAGGAAGGUUUUAUGAACAAUAUGAAUGAUAUGAUUCUAUCCACCAAGCAGUGUUCCCCAUCUCCAUUCUCAAUUUUAUUGCAUAAUUAUUAUUAUUAUAAUUUUAGAUUUUUUACAUAAGAGAGUGUGAUACUGGAAUUAAUUCUAUUCAAAUGGACUUGGCUUUAAAUCCAGAACCUUUAUCAGUUUCAACAGCACUGAAACAACCAAACGGAGAACUGAUAAGCAUAGUAGGCGUAGUUAAUACGGUAAGUUCUAAGGUAA